GAGAGAGAGAGAGGUGCUUAAGUCAAAGGGUGAGCAUGUUAGCUUUUGACUAUACAAAUGUGAGGGGAUUUAUAAUAAAAUAUCUGAAAGUUUUAAAUCUCAAGACUUCUUAAGAACAUGAAUACUGAUAAGUGGGAAGUAAAAUCCAAAAGGGGGUUAAGAUUAAAAACACAGCGAGCACAGAAAAGAAGAGGGAAGAGGACAAGUUAAGACAGAAGGAGGAGGCAGCGAUUGAGACAAUAGAUGCAAUAAAGCUUUAAGGAGAGCGCUCAUACCCAGGAGAAG